rnacentral:rRNA from 1 species
CGUACACUCCUACGGGAGGCAGCAGUGGGGAAUUUUGGACAAUGGGCGAAAGCCUGAUCCAGCCAUGCCGCGUGCAGGAUGAAGGCCUUCGGGUUGUAAACUGCUUUUGUACGGAACGAAACGGCCUUUUCUAAUAAAGAGGGCUAAUGACGGUACCGUAAGAAUAAGCACCGGCUAACUACGUGCCAGCAGCCGCGGUAAUACGUAGGGUGCAAGCGUUAAUCGGAAUUACUGGGCGUAAAGCGUGCGCAGGCGGUUAUGUAAGACAGUUGUGAAAUCCCCGGGCUCAACCUGGGAACUGCAUCUGUGACUGCAUAGCUAGAGUACGGUAGAGGGGGAUGGAAUUCCGCGUGUAGCAGUGAAAUGCGUAGAUAUGCGGAGGAACACCGAUGGCGAAGGCAAUCCCCUGGACCUGUACUGACGCUCAUGCACGAAAGCGUGGGGAGCAAACAGGAUUAGAUACCCUAGUAGUCCCA